rnacentral:rRNA from 1 species
AUGUCGCCGGCGGAGCAGACGCGAGACGAGAGCGUCUACAUGGCCAAGCUUGCGGAGCAGGCCGAGCGCUACGAGGAGAUGGUGGAGUUCAUGGAGCGCGUCGCGAAGGCCACCGGCGGGGCAGGGCCCGGGGAGGAGCUAUCCGUCGAGGAGCGCAACCUGCUCUCUGUGGCUUACAAGAAUGUCAUCGGGGCCCGGCGCGCGUCCUGGAGGAUCAUCUCCUCCAUCGAGCAGAAGGAGGAAGGUCGGGGCAACGACGCGCACGCCGCUACCAUCCGCUCCUACCGCAGCAAGAUCGAGGCCGAGCUCGCAAAGAUCUGUGACGGCAUCCUCGCCCUGCUUGAUUCCCACCUCGUGCCAUCCGCCGGAGCUGCCGAGUCCAAAGUCUUCUAUCUCAAGAUGAAGGGCGACUACCACAGGUACCUUGCAGAGUUUAAGUCUGGUGGGGAGAGGAAGGAAGCCGCCGAGAGCACCAUGAACGCGUACAAAGCUGCUCAGGUUACUGAUAAGGAUAUCGCCCUAGUAGAUUUGGCUCCAACACACCCCAUCAGGCUUGGGCUUGCACUCAACUUUUCUGUGUUCUACUAUGAGAUCUUGAACUCCCCUGACCGUGCCUGCAACCUUGCAAAACAAGCCUUUGACGAGGCUAUAUCAGAGCUGGACAGUUUAGGCGAGGAAUCCUACAAGGACAGCACUUUAAUCAUGCAGCUCCUGCGUGACAAUUUGACUCUAUGGACAUCCGACACCAAUGAGGAUGACGUUGAUGAGAUUAAGGAAGCCCCAGCUCCAAAAGAAUCUGGAGACGGACAGUGA